GCGAGAGCGCAGCUAGGAGGAGGGGUAAUAGGGAGGGGGCGAGGGUUGUUCGGAAUUAGUGGGCGUAAAGGGGGCGUAGGCGGCUUUAUAAGGCGAAGGUGAAAUCCCUCGGCUCAACUGAGGAACUGCCUUUGAAACUGUAAAGCUUGAGGCCGGGAGGGGGUAGCGGAAUGCCCAGUGUAGCGGUGAAAUGCGUAGAUAUUGGGAGGAACACCAGUGGCGAAGGCGGCUACCUGGACCGGUUCUGACGCUGAGGCGCGAAAGCGUGGGUAGCAAACAGGAUUAGAUACCCUAGUAGUC
rnacentral:rRNA from 1 species